UAAGGAAUAUUGGGCAAUGGACGCAAGUCUGACCCAGCCAUGCCGCGUGGAGGAUGAAGGUCCUCUGGAUUGUAAACUUCUUUUAUUUGGGAAGAAACCCGGAUUUUCUAAUUCGGUUGACGGUACCAGAUGAAUAAGCACCGGCUAACUCCGUG
rnacentral:rRNA from 1 species